GGGCGUUAAGUUGCAGGGUAUAGACCCGAAACCCGGUGAUCUAGCCAUGGGCAGGUUGAAGGUUGGGUAACACUAACUGGAGGACCGAACCGACUAAUGUUGAAAAAUUAGCGGAUGACCUGUGGCUGGGGGUGAAAGGCCAAUCAAACCGGGAGAUAGCUGGUUCUCCCCGAAAGCUAUUUAGGUAGCGCCUCGUGAAUUCAUCUCCGGGGGUAGAGCACUGUUUCGGCUAGGGGGCCAUCCCGGCUUACCAACCCGAUGCAAACUGCGAAUACCGGAGAAUGUUAUCACGGGAGACACACGGCGGGUGCUAACGUCCGUCGUGAAGAGGGAAACAACCCAGACCGCCAGCUAAGGUCCCAAAGUCAUGGUUAAGUGGGAAACGAUGUGGGAAGGCCCAGACAGCCAGGAUGUUGGCUUAGAAGCAGCCAUCAUUUAAAGAAAGCGUAAUAGCUCACUGGUCGAGUCGGCCUGCGCGGAAGAUGUAACGGGGCUAAACCAUGCACCGAAGCUGCGGCAGCGACGCUGAUGCGUUGUUGGGUAGGGGAGCGUUCUGUAAGCCUGCGAAGGUGACCUGUGAGGGUUGCUGGAGG
rnacentral:rRNA from 1 species